AUUAAUGGCGUAUAACUUCAUCUAGACCCAUACUUACUUACGACCGUGAUCAAAAUGAAGAAGAAAAUUAAAGAAUCAAAAAGAAAAAGAAAUGGAAGCAGGAAACAGAAAAAAAAAAUAAAAGAGAGUAAUAAAAAAACGAAUGGAAGAUGGCGAAAUUUUUAAUUCCUAAUAACUUCCAGUCAGAUACCAACACUUAGCAAAAAGAAUAUUCCCUAUCCCA
rnacentral:lncRNA from 1 species